UUUCUUACUAUCCGAUCUGCCAUUGCUCGCAUCUUCAAAUCAUAGGCUAUCGAUGCAUAGGAUAUGCCUCUAUACUAGAAGCGUAUUGUAUUGUAUUGAAAUUACCGAAGGGUGUAAAUCUUGCAGCACAAGUGCAGACUGUCAGAACUAAGGUACCUGCAAUGGAAUUGAAUGUUCCUGUAUGAGCGGAUAUACAGGUGGAAAAUGUGAGACCAGUGCAGCACCACCUGUGACGACCCUGACCCCGAGUUUGCUCGUCAUCUCCAUCCUCGGGGCCAUCUUGACAAAGGCCUAGAAUGCUUAUAAUACGAGCUAUAGUAUUGCAAACAGUCUCGUAUGUUCUCACUGUUGGUCGAAGUGAGUCCGGUGUACUAACGCGAGGACUGGAAGGAAACCAUACCAGUCAAAUGUCAGUAUGGUCGGUGUUGGAUACUGCUUUCAGCAGAGACUUCAUGGACUUAUGGACACACAUUCGACAUUUUGAGUUAUUUGGAACCACUGCGAAUUUAACAUCAUAUGUGUUGUUACAGCUGAAUAUAACCCGUGAAGAUCCUGAUUAGAAUUGGUCUUCAGUAACCCAUGCUUGUUGUAAGAAGCGACUAACAGGAUGGUC